GCCUCAUUGUGGUUUCUUUGGCUUUCACUGACAUAGCUCCUAUCCUCAUGAACAAUGGUAACUACAAUCUGCAAAGGGUUGGAUAAUGGAUGGAUGGAUGGACAGGCAGAUACCAUCAAUUGUCUUGAAUGCAGAGAACACUGCCAGCUGCAUUUCAGUGAUUUCCUAGUGUCAAACGUACAAGUGAAUGAGCCUUGAGAAACUGCUCCUCGAUGACACUAAAGCAAAGGAAGCCUCACCUUUUCUGGGAAAGGAGACCGCUUAUUCUAAUGCUGACCUUGCUUUUGUGCUGACCCAAGCCUGAUAUGAUCAUUAGUAGAUUCAGAGAGGACAAGUACAUUCCUUAAGAAGUAUGGCAGACCAAGCAACAGCCAGUGAUACCACUGAAAGGGAACAAUCAGCCUCACUCAGAAGGACACAUUCAAUAUAUGGACUGCCUUCAAGACAGAAGGACAUCAUGAAUAAUCCAGAAAAUGGACAUUAACUAUUUGUUUCUUUUCCAAGCUAUACAUAACCUUGACAUAUAGCAAAUUAACCAGGGUGUUCCCAGUGCACAUAUUCAGUAUGGUAGCUGUGUUAAAACUCACAAAAACUCACAUGAAAAUGCACUUUUGUGAACACGUAUUUCUCUAGACUUGAAUCAGGCCUAAAUCAUAUAUUGUAGUUUAAGUAUAUUUUGAGCUUGCCUGUUCCCUAAAAGAAACAAAAACAGAGCAAACCUAAUGCAGGAUACUCCACCAAAAGGUACAGUAUAUAUAUAUAUAUUUUUUUUUUAAGUUAAAGCAGUUAGCACUAAAGUCAUUGCUUUUACAUAGGAAAAACAUCUGUUAAUUGAUAUUUCAUUAUAGUUAGGCCACAAUAACAAAAAAAAAGCCUGUUGAUCACCACCGUGGAUUUGUAAAUAAAUGUGGAAGGUGAUUCUCUCACCAACAGUCCAUUAACAUUAUUGUCAAGUCUGAUUCAGUGUAAAUUAUUAAACCAAUUUAUAGAUAUUAAGCAGAGUAGCUGAAGGGAUUGAAGCGUAGUGUGGGGGUCCAGAGGCACUGGUUGUAACACCACAUCAGGGUCUGGCAAUAAAGCACUUAGUCACAAAGCAAGCACCGGCCAAAACCAAAUCAUCUGAUGCUUUUGUUCCAUUCUCUUUGGAUUUGUAUCUUUUUCUUUUAAGUUUGCUGAAGAACAGAAUUUUUUGUGAGGUCAUUGCUUUAUUUACACAAUGUAUUGGCACAGGCUUAAAGAUCCAACCAUGAUGACAUCACACUUCUCACAGUAUGAGACUCAAUUGUCUAACAUCAUGAGGCACCAUAAGAGCAAAAUGGUGGUACUCAGAAGAAGG